rnacentral:rRNA from 1 species
GAUGAACGCUGGCGGCGUGCCUAAUACAUGCAAGUCGAGCGAACAGGCCAUGAGCUUGCUCCUCUGUCGUUUGCGUCAGACGGGAGAGUGACACGCGGAUAACCUACCUGUAAUACUGGGAUAACUUCGCCAAAACGGCGCGAAUACCGGAUAAUAUAUUGAACCGUAUGGUUCAAUAGUAAAAGACGGUUUUGCUGUGACUAAUAGAUGGAUCUGCGCCGCAUUGGCUAGUUGGUAGGGUAACGGCCUACAAAGGCAACGAUGCGUAGCCGACCGGGGAGGGUGAUCGGCGACACUGGAACUGAGACACGGCCCAGACUACUACGGGAGGCAGCAGUAGGGAAUCUUCCGCAAUGGGCGAAAGUAUGACGGAGCAACGCCGAGUGAGUGAUGAAGGGCUUCGGAUCGUAAAGCUCUGUUAUUGGUGAAGAACAAAUGUGGAAGUAACUGUGCACGGCUUGACGGUACCUAAUUAGAAAGCCACGGCUAACUACGUG